GAUGAGUGUCAUGUAUGUACUUGUAGUCCCAGCUGCUUGGGAGGCUGAGGCAAGAGGAUCCUUUGAGCUCAGGAGUUCUGGACUAUAGUGUGCUAUGCUGAUUAGGUGGCCACACUAAGGUUAUCAUCAAUAUGGUGGCCUCUCAGGAAGCAGGGGACCACCAGUUUGGCUAAGAAGGGGUGAUAUGCCCCAGGUAGGAAUUGGAGCAGGUCAAAACAUCAAUGAUGAUCAGUAGUGGGAUGGAACCUGUGAAUGGCCACUGCUCUCCAGCCUGAGCAACACAGUGAUAGUCUAUCUUUA
rfam:Otolemur garnettii contig042791, whole genome shotgun sequence.